GCUUUAAACUACGUCACAUCCGGGAAGACGGUCAUUUUGAACAACUCAUGGCGGCUGAGCGCAGAGACUUCAAACAGUGUUUGCACCACUACAUCGUUGACAAACUGGAAAGGACUGCUGAAAUGACUGCUCCACUCGCUCCUCCUGACUGAUGACUGACAUCUGCUCGUCUUAGAUGAGUCUGACUCAACGCUGAAAAAGACAGAUGUCCUAGAACGUCCUGGGUUGGCCACAGUAGGUCAUGUGACUGUGUUCAUUGCCACAGCAUACCUGGAUAUGAAGCUGCAGGAAACAAUAGAAGUGGGAGCACAAAGUCGCAGCAUCCUCUCUUUAAUGCAGGAAUUUUGCCCAAGCAUUGGAAAACCUGUAGCUUGUGGAGCUCAUUCACAAGAACUUGUAUGAACUUUUACUGCCCCCUGCUGGCAAAUACUGCCAAGUGCAUCAUUAUCCAAUGUGCACAGUAAAGUGGGUCAGCUGUGGAGUAACAAAGAAUAUGUAAUGUUGAAAUUUAACAAUUAAACAGAAUUAUUUUUCUUAAGCAAUAUCCAUAUUCACACUUGGUUGCACAGUGGAUUUGUUAACAUUUCUCUGUAUUUUCCCAAAUUUUUCUUUUUGUAAAGAUUUGAAAUACUUUAUUAAAUGUGAGUUAAUUUGC